GUUGGUGUAGCUCUGUGGUAGAGUGCAUGCUUUGUAUGUAUGACGUCAUGGUUUGAAAUCCCAGCUUCUCCC